GUCGGCUUAAAAACUUGAUGUUUGGGCUUGGAAAGAAUAUUGUAGGACAAAGGAAAGUAGGCUUGAAAUAAAGAAAUGUAAAUGUUUGGUGUGGCGAAAAGUAGAAGGUAAUAAGGACUGAAAUUUGGGCAGCAAACAAAAACUAAAUUUCAAAACUACCUCUCUUUUUUUUUCAAAUUUUUUUUUCAAAUUUUUUUUUCACAACUUGAUAUCCAAUCUUUUAAGUUUGAAUGGAAACUAGUUUUUUUUCGAUUUUUUUUUUGAAUUUUUUUUUUCGAGUUUUUUUUCGAGAAAC
rnacentral:lncRNA from 1 species